CCUACGGGGGGCAGCAGUGGGGAAUAUUGGACAAUGGGGGGAACCCUGAUCCAGCCAUGCCGCGUGUGUGAAGAAGGCCCUCGGGUCGUAAAGCACUUUCAGAAAGGAAGAACGCCUGGUGGAGGAUACGCAUCAGGAAAGACAUCACUCACAGAAAAAGCACCGGCUAACUCCGUGCCAGCAGCCGCGGUAAUACGGAGGGUGCGAGCGUUAAUCGGAAUUACUGGGCGUAAAGCGCGCGUAGGUGGCUUGAUAAGCCGGUUGUGAAAGCCCCGGGCUCAACCUGGGAACGGCAUCCGGAACUGUCAAGCUAGAGUGCAGGAGAGGAAGGUAGAACUCCCGGUGUAGCGGUGAAAUGCGUAGAGAUCGGGAGGAACACCAGUGGCGAAGGCGGCCUUCUGGACUGAGACUGACACUGAGGUGCGAAAGCGUGGGUAGCAAACAGGAUUAGAUACCCUUGUAGUC
rnacentral:rRNA from 1 species